AGCCUACUAAACGUCAUCGUUUAAGCCCACUUUUCUUUUUCUCCUCCCCAGCGCAACGCCCAUUUUUCUUGGCCUCCUCUUCUCCGCGAUAAUCCUCUUCUUCUUCUCCUUGCUUGGGGAAACAAUAGUCACCCUUCUCCUUCUCCUUCUCUCCCGCCUGUUUAAAUUGUAUUUGAGAAAACAAAUUUGGCCUAAGAUUGGUCAGUUCCUUGUCAGUUUCUUGUCUUUCUUGGUUGUGAAUUUUCUUGUACUGAAUUUGUUCGGUGAAUGGAUUUUCCUUAGGGAUUUUCUUGGGGGAUUAUCAUUGUCUUCUAAGUAAUUCUAGUAAAAGUAAAGAGCAAGGGUUUUUGAUUUGAUUGUGUGUUGAAACGGGUUCGUCGAGUGGCUGCUUUUCUGACCCACUAGUCGACUCAUCCCGAAUCGGGCUGUGGGCUAGGGAUGAUUCUAUUAGGAGGAUGGGUAGCAACAUAUAAUGAAAACAGGGUUGUGUUACUGAAGUGAAACGACCAGGCAAAUGGCCUUAACCAACUUUAUACUCACAGUGGCGGGUGUUGGUGCUGUGAUUCUGCUGAUGAGGACUGAUAUCAAGCAAUCGUCUACCAUCUUCAGACGCAAUGUUCGACAGAUUCGCCAUUGGCUCGAGGAAGAGUCUGCUUCUGCUGCAAAGGAAAUGGAGAAGGCAAAACCAAAGGAGAUACCUGGAAAGGAUAUACCCAAGGAGGAAAAGCACUAGCUUGGUCCUUGAAACCUGGGUUUAUUUAAGAAACUGUACAUUUUAGCAAUUUUGCUUUAGCUUUUGGUCCAUCUUUGUAUAAAUCUUUUGAGUUUGGAGAGCGAGUUUAUGCUCUAGUUUGGAUAAUUGUGUCAUUGGAAGGAAAAAGAAUUGAAAGUUUCCUAGUUUAACAUUUAAAACGUGGAAGAGUAAAUUGCAUACUACCAGUUCAUA